rnacentral:rRNA from 1 species
AUCCCUUGACAUCCUGCGAACUUUCUAGAGAUAGAUUGGUGCCUUCGGGAACGCAGUGACAGGUGCUGCAUGGCUGUCGUCAGCUCGUGUCGUGAGAUGUUGGGUUAAGUCCCGCAACGAGCGCAACCCUUAUCAUUAGUUGCUAACAUUUAGUUGAGAACUCUAAUGAGACUGCCGGUGAUAAACCGGAGGAAGGCGGGGACGACGUCAAGUCAUCAUGGCCCUUAUGGGAUGGGCUACACACGUGCUACAAUGGGGGGUACAAAGAGCAGCCAACUGGCGACAGUGCGCGAAUCUCAUAAAACCUCUCGU